rnacentral:lncRNA from 1 species
CUAGAAGCCAGUGGUAAACUUCAAGUUCCCAUUCGAAGACAGCAAGCUUUCUCUUGUUAUUUUCUUCUCAAACCUAAUACUUUUCAGUUAUUUGGUUGUGGUGGUGGCAGUGGUGGUGGUAAUAAUGGUGGUGGUGGUGAUGGCUCUAGCCAUCUUCAGUGCCUGUCAUAAUGUGAGCUGCCUUGGGAAUGAGGUGUGUCUGACCUUGGCAAUAUCAGCCAGGAAGAAAGAGGAUUUCACCAGAACCAAAUUUGGCUUAUGAUACAGUGAUGUCAGGAAGAUGGAGUGAAUCCAUCCU